rnacentral:rRNA from 1 species
AUUGAACGCUGGCGGCAGGCCUAACACAUGCAAGUCAAACGGUAGCACAGAGAGCUUGCUCUCAGGUGACGAGUGGCGGACGGGUGAGUAAUGUCUGGGAAACUGCCCGAUGGAGGGGGAUAACUACUGGAAACGGUAGCUAAUACCGCAUAACGUCGCAAGACCAAAGUGGGGGACCUUCGGGCCUCACACCAUCGGAUGUGCCCAGAUGGGAUUAGCUAGUAGGUGGGAUAAUGGCUCACCUAGGCGACGAUCCCUAGCUGGUCUGAGAGGAUGACCAGCCGCACUGGAACUGAGACACGGUCCAGACUCCUACGGGAGGCAGCAGUGGGGAAUAUUGCACAAUGGGCGCAAGCCUGAUGCAGCCAUGCCGCGUGUAUGAAGUAGGCCUUCGGGUUGUAAAGUACUUUCAGCGGGGAGGAAGGCGGUGAAGUUAAUAGCUUCACCGAUUGACGUUACCCGCAGAAGAAGCACCGGCUAACUCCGUGCCAGCAGCCGCAGUAA